GCCCGCCUAGCUCAAUCGGAUAGAGCGUCAGACUUUUAUCCGCUUGCAAGCGUUAGGAAGUGGCAUCUGAAGGCUGCGAGUUCGACCCUCGCGGUGGGCU